rnacentral:rRNA from 1 species
UACGAAGGGGGCUAGCGUUGCUCGGAAUCACUGGGCGUAAAGCGCACGUAGGCGGAUUGUUAAGUCAGGGGUGAAAUCCUGGAGCUCAACUCCAGAACUGCCUUUGAUACUGAGGAGCUUGAGUCCGGGAGAGGUGAGUGGAACUGCGAGUGUAGAGGUGAAAUUCGUAGAUAUUCGCAAGAACACCAGUGGCGAAGGCGGACUCACUGGCCCGGUACUGACGCUGAGGUGCGAAAGC